rnacentral:tRNA from 1 species
GUAGCUCAGUUGGUAGAGCAUUGGACUAGUAUCCCAAAGGUCGCGGGUUCAAUUCCCAUACA